rnacentral:snRNA from 1 species
AAACUUACCUGGCAUCGGGUUCAGGGUGAUCAGCAAUGCUCUGACCCCAGGUGGAGGCUCGCCAUUGCCCUCCGGCGUGUUGAAGCCUGCGACGGAAUUCAAUCGGGUUCGCUCGUUUGUGUAGUUUUUGCCAGUGGGUAGCCCUCAUACAUCCCUC